rnacentral:lncRNA from 1 species
GUCAGAUAGUUUUAUAGUUAAAUCAAUUUAUUCAACUAUGAUUCUUUUAUUUCUAUAGGUUGGCCUAUUUUUGAUAAUACGUAUACAUAAUUUAUAAUGUUUUUGUGAUAAUAUUUUUAAAUUUCAGAUAAAUUAUGUAAAAAUAUUUGAGGGAAAAAUCGUACUUGAGAUUCCUGCAUCUUGGGGGAAUUUUGACUUAGCCACCUUUUCCGACUUUCUUUCUUUCCUCUGUAUAACCAUGUGGUAAUAAAGAAGUAGAGGCAAUGCCUGAUGCUCUGAAUUUAGAGGUAAAAUGAAUUUUUCAUCUCUCUUUUGCUAUUCGGUUCCUCCCAUACUUAAGUAAUUAGACCCUUCUUGUAGCUACUAAUCAUUACACCUCACAACCUCUUAUGCUUGUUUUAUUUUAUCCUGUUCAUGUCGAUCUCAUUUCUGAGUUUUCUACACUUCUGCUUACCUUAAAAAAUAUCAAGUAGCUUUUAAUAGCUGCCGGCCAGCCAUGCAAUAUUAAAGGAUUAAGGGUAGACUAAAAGAUCUAUGUGACAUAUCCCACUGCGUAUUCUCCCUUGCAAUCUGUGAAAUAAUCAGGAGAAAGACGGUGGCCUAGAAUCCUCUCUCCCUCGGGAAUCUCCUAACAUCCUUUGCAUUACCUGCUGUAUUAACGUCUUCCUUGGCCACACUGCACUCCCGGCUCCUACAACCAGCUUCCCAUCUGCUAAGGUAAAUUCAUCAUUUACUUAUUUUCUAGAUAUUUAUUGUCAGACUUUCGAUAGGAUGUAAAUUCUGCGGGGGCGGGGAAUCUUUGCUUUUUCUUCCCUGAUAUAUUCGUUGCCUCAAACAUUGACUCGUAUGUAGGCAC